UACGUAGGGGGCUAGCGUUGUCCGGAAUCAUUGGGCGUAAAGCGCGUGUAGGCGGCCCGGUAAGUCCGCUGUGAAAGUCGGGGGCUCAACCCUCGAAUGCCGGUGGAUACUGUCGGGCUCGAGUGCGGAAGAGGCGAGUGGAAUUCCUGGUGUAGCGGUGAAAUGCGCAGAUAUCAGGAGGAACACCGGUGGCGAAGGCGGCCCUCUGGACGGUGACUGACGCUGAGACGCGAAAGCGUGGGGAGCAAACAGG
rnacentral:rRNA from 1 species